AACAAUAAACCUUGGCUUUCGCAUCAGAGCUGAAAGAGUCGUUUUACAUUAAACACAGCUAGGCUAUUACCGAUUAGAUUUCCCUUGCAAAUAUGCACGCCUGUAGGCUACUUGUGGGAACAUGAUAUCAACUGCGAAAUCAAACGUGCAACGAAAUUUCCACAUUGUGCUUUUAAGCACCAUCAAGCAUAUGGCAUGCCUGACCAUCCACGUCUUUAAGAUACGCAAGUUAAUGAACUCUUAAUUCACUUGUCAAUGUUACAGGCAUGUACAAACAUCAUACAGCUAUUCGAACGCUAUUCCGAUUUCUGUGGAGGGGGGCCUGUCCAGGGGGAACGCUUGAUAAAUAUUUCCCUCGAAUUAGUAGUAGGCUAAUCAUAUCCUCCAAAUUACUUAAAUCGUUCCCUCGAAUUAGUCAUUCACUCGCUGAAAUUAUUCGCAUUCCCAACAUAAAACGAAAUUUAGCUAUCAUACCACAGGUAACAAAGAAACUGACAAACAGUCUACAGCUAUCGCUAUCUCGGUAACUUUACUUGGGCAACUUUCAGUACGUUUCAUUAGUUAGCCUUGUAUUUGAGUGUAGGCUACGUCUCAAAAAACAUUUGUUCACCUUCCGUUAAUAGGCUUGCCAUGGGAAAUUUCAAGCUUGCCACGGGAAAUUUGAAGUCCAAGAAGGAAACUUACCUGUAAAACGAAGUACAAAACACACGGUUGCCAGGAGAAACAUGCUGAACGAGCACAAAGAAAUAUCUCAUGGACGUCGGAUCCAAUGGCACCAAGUAUAAACAAACGUACGAAGGUUAGGAAUUGCACUUAAAAUAAAGUAUUUGGAGAACAACGUAGGCUAUAGUCAUGUACAUAAAUAUAAACUGCUUGAAAACGCAGCAAAUGAUACAAAUGGUUUACAAAAAAAAAGAAAAA